GGCAGCGGGGUGCGGGUUGGAGGUGGGGAAGUUUGGGGGUGUGCUACGGCGCGGCGACUGAGCAGGGCGGAGGGAGUGGCCAGCGGCCGUGCCCAGAUGAGUCGGGAGGUGCCCCGGACGUCGGCGCGCAGGCGACCCCGCUGGCUCCCGGCUGCCUGCGGUGCCAUCUCGCCGCGUUCCCUUUCCCCAGCGCGCCUCCGACUUGGCCGCGGCCGAACUGGGCGGUCAGAGCGCAGUGAAGGGGCAGCCGCGUCGCGCCGGAUCCGGGCGCGGCGGAGCCGGGAGGUGUGCACCGCGGGGCGGCGACGGGCGAGGCGGCUCCUGCGCUGUGGGCGGCCUCCCGAGAAUAUUUCCCGAUUUAGGUUUUAAUUGCUUUUUCCUGAAACCAAGUCAUUUUGAUGGAAGACCAGGCUUGGCUUUAUCAGCUUUGGAAUGUGGGCCACAGUCAACUGCAAGUCACUUCUGAUGCCACAAGAGAGCAGGAGAGAAACUUGUGAUGUAAACACAGUAAGGAGGAAGCUGUGGUUAAGACGUUGGUCUCUGCAGUGGGCUCUGGAUUGUGGAUCCUGUCCACACUUACUGGUGUGACCUAACCUCUCUGGGCUGGGGUCUUCUCUUCUGUACAGUGAGCAGCAUCACGGUACCUGCCUCAAGGAGUGGUAGGAAUUGAACACAGUGACCAAUUAGAAGCCCUUGGUCCAAGGUUUUCACCAGACAAUCACAUCGUGCAAUCACAUCUCCAGUUGCAUAAAAGAAAGUAAGGUGCAUGAGAAAUGGUGGCACAAGGCAGAGACUCUCCUCCCAGCUCAGUAGUAAGGGUCAAGGGGCAAGCACACCCCACCAGCUCCCUGGAGGUCAAUGGACUACUAAGGCAUCUAGAACUUGUUCCUUGGCACCCCUGGAAGCAACAGCAUGGGCAUCCUGGAAAGAUGGCUAGAAACGCAGACUACCAGCCCUACCCCAGCCCCACUGAAUCAGGCUCUGCAUUUACCAGACUUUAAAUCUAGGACACAGAGCCUCACUCAUAAAUGGGAGACAUCUGGAAGAGAAGAGAAGACUGACAGAGUUUCUUCAAGCGCCCAGGCUGACUGUGCAGUGAGCCAUGUGCUUGGAGUUAGGAAGAUGCUCUUUCAGGUGGAUCAAGCCCUUGGCCACAGAUCCCUGGUCACUCAUACUUAUUGUCUUUUCUCUACAACAUGUAUAUGGGG